rnacentral:misc_RNA from 1 species
GAGAAGAACGCAGCGAAAUGCGAUAAGUAAUGUGAAUUGCAGAAUUCAGUGAAUCAUCGAAUCUUUGAACGCACAUUGCGCCCGCCAGUAUUCUGGCGGGCAUGCCUGUUCGAGCGUCAUUUCAACCAUCAAGCCCCCGGCUUGUGUUGGGGACCUGCGGCUGCCGCAGGCCCUGAAAACCAGUGGCGGGCUCGCUAGUCACUCCGAGCGUAGUAAUACAUCUCGCUCAGGGCGUGCUGCGGGUUCCGGCCGUUAAAAGCCUUAUUUUACCCAAGGUUGACCUCGGAUCAGGUAGGAAGACCCGCUGAACUUAAGCAUAUCAAUAAGCGGAGGA